rnacentral:misc_RNA from 1 species
GCUGAAGAACGCAGCGAAAUGCGAUAAGUAAUGUGAAUUGCAGAAUUCAGUGAAUCAUCGAAUCUUUGAACGCACAUUGCGCCCGCCAGUAUUCUGGCGGGCAUGCCUGUUCGAGCGUCAUUUCAACCAUCAAGCCCCAGGCUUGUGUUGGGGACCUGCGGCUGCCGCAGGCCCUGAAAACCAGUGGCGGGCUCGCUGUCACACCGGGCGUAGUAGAUUUUAUCUCGCUCAGGGCGUGCUGCGGGUUCCGGCCGUUAAAAAGCCUUUUUUACCCAAGGUUGACCUCGGAUCAGGUAGGAAGACCCGCUGAACUUAAGCAUAUCAAUAAGCGGAGGA